GUCUACGGCCAUACUACCCUGAACAUGCCCACUCAUGUCUGAUCUUGGAAGCUAAGCAGGAUCAGGUCUGGUUUGUACUUGGAUGGGAGACUGCCUGAGAAUACUGGGUGCUGUGGAUC